UACGUAGGGUGCAAGCGUUGUCCGGAAUUAUUGGGCGUAAAGAGCUCGUAGGCGGUUUGUCGCGUCGAAUGUGAAAACCCGGGGCUUAACUCCGGGCGUGCAGCCGAUACGGGCAGGCUAGAGUCCGGUAGGGGAGACUGGAAUUCCUGGUGUAGCGGUGAAAUGCGCAGAUAUCAGGAGGAACACCGGUGGCGAAGGCGGGUCUCUGGGCCGAUACUGACGCUGAGGAGCGAAAGCGUGGGGAGCGAACAGG
rnacentral:rRNA from 1 species